UCUCGUCUGUCUUCUGACGCCAAUAGA
rnacentral:piRNA from 1 species